AACGCUAGCUACAGGCUUAACACAUGCAAGUCGAGGGGCAGCAUUAGGUAGCAAUACUGAGAUGGCGACCGGCGCACGGGUGCGUAACGCGUAUCCAACCUUCCCGUUACUCUUGGAUAGCCUUCCGAAAGGGAGAUUAAUACAAGAUGGUGUUGAAAUUCCGCAUGUUAUUGAAACUAAAGAUUUAUCGGUAUCGGAUAGGGAUGCGUGACAUUAGGUAGUAGGCGGGGUAACGGCCCACCUAGCCGACGAUGUCUAGGGGUUCUGAGAGGAAGGUCCCCCACACUGGAACUGAGACACGGACCAGACUCCUACGGGAGGCAGCAGUGAGGAAUAUUGGUCAAUGGGCGGAAGCCUGAACCAGCCAAGUAGCGUGAAGGAUUACAGCCCUACGGGUUUUAAACUUCUUUUAUAUAAGAGUAAUGUGCACUACGUGUAGUGUAUUGCAAGUAUUAUAUGAAUAAGCAUCGGCUAACUCCGUGCCAGCAGCCGCGGUAAUACGGAGGAUGCGAGCGUUAUCCGGAUUUAUUGGGUUUAAAGGGAGCGUAGGCGGGAUAUUAAGUCAGUCGUCAAAGCCUGUGGCUCAACCACAGCCCGCGAUUGAUACUGGUAACCUUGAGUGCGGAUGAGGUGGAUGGAAUUCGUGGUGUAGCGGUGAAAUGCUUAGGUAUCACGAAGAACUCCGAUUG
rnacentral:rRNA from 1 species